CACGGGGGGAGCAAGCGUUGUUCGGAAUCACUGGGCGUAAAGGGCGUGCAGGCGGUCAGGUAAGUGGGAUGUGAAAUGCCCCGGCUCACCCGGGGACCGGCAUCUCAUACUGCUUGGCUUGAGUACGGGAGAGGAUGUGGGAAUUCCUGGUGUAGCGGUGAAAUGCGUAGAUAUCUGGAGGAACACCGGUGGCGAAGGCGGCAUCCUGGACCGGUAUUGACGCUGAGGCGCGAAAGCCAGGGGAGCAAACGGG
rnacentral:rRNA from 1 species